rnacentral:lncRNA from 1 species
UUCUUUGGGGCCUUGUAUUCUGGUCAUUCUAGUAGUAUAGGAUUUUAGCCUUGUAUUUCAGGACAUUUUGAGUAAUCCUUGUAGUAGAGACUUUUUGGUAUUUUCAUGUAUUUUGGCAUGGGGGUGAGCUAAGCUAUUAUACAGGGUAUGUGUAGCUAAGCUCUAGCUUCUCAUCUCAAGGAGGUGAACUUAGCUAUUAGAGGGGUGUGUGCAGCUAAGCUCUAGCUUCUCUAGAAAUCUUUUCAAGGAAGCUUCUCAAGGAGGUGAGCUUAGUUAUUAGAGGAAUGUGUGUAGCUAAGGUCUAACUUCUCAAGGAAGCUUCUCAAAGAAGCUACCUAAGCUAUAAA